rnacentral:rRNA from 1 species
GACGAACGCUGGCGGCGCGCUUAACACAUGCAAGUCGAACGGAAAGGCCUGCUUUCCCUUGUGGAUUGCGGGUACUCGAGUGGCGAACGGGUGAGUAACACGUGAGUGAUCUGCCCCCAACUUGGGUAUAAGCCUGGGAAACUGGGUCUAAUUCCCGAUAGGACUGCAGGGUGGUGCCUGUGGUGGAAAACGAUUUUCUAGUGGUUGGGGAUGAGCUCGCGGCCUAUCAGCUUGUUGGUGGGGUAAUGGCCUACCAAGGCGGCGACGGGUAGCCGGCCUGGGAGGGUGGACGGCCACAUUGGGACUGAGAUACGGCCCAGACUCCUACGGGAGGCAGCAGUGGGGAAUAGUGCACAAUGGGCGGAAGCCUGAUGCAGCGACGCCGCGUGGGGGAUGACGGCCUUCGGGGUGUAAACUCCUUUCGACCGCGAGGAAGCCACCUGGUUGGAAGGGUGGUGACGGUAGUGGUAGAAGAAGCACCGGCUAACUACGU